rnacentral:tRNA from 1 species
GAGGAGGUAGUUUAAUAAAAAUGAAAGAUUGUCAAUCUUUUGAUGUCAGAAUAGAUCCUUCUUU